GAUGAAGAACGUAGCGAACUGCGAUAAGUAAUGUGAAUUGCAGAAUUCAGUGAAUCAUCGAGUCUUUGAACGCACAUUGCGCCCCCUGGCAUUCCGGGGGGCAUGCCUGUCCGAGCGUCAUUGCUGCCCUUCAAGCCCGGCUUGUGUGUUGGGUCGUCGUCCCCCCCGGGGGACGGGCCCGAAAGGCAGCGGCGGCACCGCGUCCGGUCCUCGAGCGUAUGGGGCUUUGUCACCCGCUCGAUUAGGGCCGGCCGGGCGCCAGCCGGCGUCUUCAACCUUCUAUUUUACCAGGUUGACCUCGGAUCAGGUAGGGAUACCCGCUGAACUUAAGCAUAUCAAUAAGCGAGGA
rnacentral:misc_RNA from 1 species